UACAGAGGGUGCAAGCGUUGUUCGGAAUUAUUGGGCGUAAAGGGAGUGUAGGCGGCGCGGAUAGUCUUCUGUGAAAUCUACGGGCUCAGCCUGUAACGUGCAGAGGAUACUACCGUGCUUGAGUGUCGGAGAGGAUAGUGGAAUUCCCGGUGUAGAGGUGAAAUUCGUAGAUAUCGAGAGGAACACCGGCGGCGAAGGCGGCCCACUGGACAGAUACUGACGCUGAGACUCGAAAGCGUGGGGAGCAAACAGG
rnacentral:rRNA from 1 species